AAGGAGAAAAGGGUUUGGACUUAACUUGAGGGCAGCAGGGAGCCACGGAAGGCUGUAGGCACAGAAGGGAUAUAGUCAGAUGAGGGUUUGAGAAAGGCUUUGUGCAGCAUAGAGAGCAGAAUAAAGUUGGGAGUGGCCCUGUCUUUCAUGAAACAAGCAGAAGGUGGCUAGGAAACGUCUCUGCAGGGGUGCAGAGAUGUUGUUCCAUACUCCUGGGCAGGAGGCCGUGUCCCUAAGCUCAGGUUGUCUCUGAUGAGCAGCUCCCCCACUCCCCAGCCCAUCCUCCAGGUCCGUAGCCUUUGUAGCCUGGGUGGGGUGAGGUCAGCGCUCUCCGGAGCAAAGCGUCACUGUGGAUUCCUGGGGUCCUCGGGAGGCCACAGCCAGCAGGGAGGGCUUCGGGGAGAGGAAAACCGACCGAGGCAUUCCCCGCAGCUGCCUGCCCUGAAGCGUCACUGGCCAGGAAUUCAGGGGCACCCAGGGGCCAUGCUUAUCACCCUCCCCAAGCGUCCGGAGCAGCCUGGUUCCAGUCGGCUGUCCAUCCAGAUGGGCCCUAAAUCAGUGGGCUCUUCCUCCUCCAGCUGCAGCCGACACAGAGCCUGAACCCCAGCCAACGCCCAAGCCCAGAAGCCCAGACGAUAACAUGUCAGCCUCCCACACACACAGACCCUCCCAGCUCCCAACACAGCCGCUGGGCCUCGCGUGUGUCAGCUGAGAGAUGUUGCAACAGGGAAAUGGCAUGGAACUGGACAGGGUGUGAGUUCAAAUAGUUUGGACACCCCUGAGUUAUACAGACACAAGCAGGAUUCUAGUGGACGGAAGACUCCAGGCUUCAACUCUUAGAUGAGGAAGCUGAGGCUCAGAGAGGAGCUGUGGUCCAUCCAAAGCACACAUUCCCAGAACAAAGCUCUUCCCGAGCCAUGAAGACAAUGCAUGAGGCAUUUCAGAGACGCCUCCCGUGCUAAGAAUGUUCCUGGGGCUGGGAGCCUGGAGACCCACGUUCCAGCCUUGAGGUGUCAUUUAAAAAUGGAAGAAUUGGGCACGUUGCCUCCGUUCUCUGGGCCUCAGUUUCUUCAUCUGUAAAACAUGGCUAAUGAUGGAACCCCCAUCAUAGAGUUGCUUCAAGGAUUAAAUAAGAUCAAGAAUGACAGAGGGCAUUUAGUAUACCUUCUCUGUUAAUGUCAUUGUUUCCAAAGAGAAAUGAGUUUCUUGAUCCCUAUAGGAGAGCAUGUUGGUGAAUUCUGCUGGGCUAAAAUUAAAACAGUGAUUUUUUUCCCCCACAGUUCUUUAGGGGUGCCCUAAUACUCAUUAAACCUACCCCACACAAGGCUGGCUUGUGUGCCUUGGGGCCACUUCAUCAGGGGAGGGAGAUGUUAUGGGACCUCACUCAGGACUGGUGCAUCCUUCCCUACCUCGAUGACACCAGCCACCAUCAGGGGGCUGACUGUGAAUGUUCAACAGUACCCAUGUGGAAGGGUCCUGAGCUCAGUGGUCUCUCCGUCAUGCUGGGGUUUGGGACCCUGGUUGUUUCCUUUCUUUAGCCCAGUGGAUCUCAUCUUUUGCUGCAUGUUACUAUCACCUGAGGACCUGUAAAAAAUAUUUACCCCAGACCAGACCAAUUAAGUCAAACUCUCCGGUUGUGGGAAAGGAAGGGACCCUCGUUUUUAAAGCUCCCUAGAUGAUUCUAAUGAGUGGCAAAGCUGAGAAUAACAGUUUAGCCCUUUUCAUGUGGUCGAGACCAGACCCUAAAUCUGUGUCUUCCUCCUGCAAAAGGGUAAAGUGGAAGAGCCAGAAUGGAACUGGGUGCAAAUCUUGCCUUUGUGUGGUUUCCUGCCUCCAUCCCUCUUCACCUCCCUGUGCCUCGGCUUCCACAUCCCUAAGGGGGAGUAAUAAUAGUGCCUGCUUCGGAGCCAGCGUGACUUCUUCGGCCCCCGCAUUUGUGGACCGGAGAACAUCACCCGAGAGCGCCGGCGCGACUUCCCUGGCCCCCCACACCUGAGGACCAGAGAACUUCGCCCGAGAGUGUGUGCAUAUUUGCAAUAAAAGACUGCCACUUUCUUACGUAACAACAACAAAAAAAAUAGUGCCUGCUUCUUGGGACUGCUGGGAGAGCAUCUAACAGGGUCUGCACUGUGCUCGGCACCUGUAAGCCUUCAACAGGUAGUGGGAUCAUUACUGUUAUUACUCUAGACCAGGGAUCCGAAAACUAUCUGCAAAUUAGGGUCAGUUCAUAAAUAUUUUCAGUUUUUCAGGCCAGAGGGUCUUAGUCAAAGCUACUUAACUCUAGUGCUGUAGCCCGAAAGCCACAGACAACAUGCAAAUGAAUGGGAGUGACUGUGUUUCAAUAAAAACUUACAAAAACACGCA